rnacentral:rRNA from 1 species
UACGGGGGGGGCAAGCGUUGUUCGGAAUUACUGGGCGUAAAGGGCUCGUAGGUGGCCAACUAAGUCGGACGUGAAAUCCCUCGGCUUAACCGGGGAACUGCGUCUGAUACUGGAUGGCUUGAGUUCGGGAGAGGGAUGCGGAAUUCCAGGUGUAGCGGUGAAAUGCGUAGAUAUCGGGAAGAACACCGGUGGCGAAGGCGGCUCGCUGGGCCAAUGCUGACGCUGAGGCGCGAAAGCGUGGGGAGCAAACAGG